AUUGAACGCUGGCGGCAGGCCUAACACAUGCAAGUCGAGCGGAUGAUGGGAGCUUGCUCCUUGAUUCAGCGGCGGACGGGUGAGUAAUGCCUAGGAAUCUACCUGGUAGUGGGGGACAACGUUUCGAAAGGAACGCUAAUACCGCAUACGUCCUACGGGAGAAAGCAGGGGACCUUCGGGCCUUGCGCUAUCAGAUGAGCCUAGGUCGGAUUAGCUUGUUGGUGAGGUAAUGGCUCACCAAGGCGACGAUCCGUAACUGGUCUGAGAGGAUGAUCAGUCAAACUGGAACUAAGACACGGUCCGGACUCCUACGGGAGGCAGCAGUGGGGAAUAUUGGACAAUGGGCGAAAGCCUGAUCCAGCCAUGCCGCGUGUGUGAAGAAGGUCUUCGGAUUGUAAAGCACUUUAAGUUGGGAGGAAGGGUUGUAGAUUGAUACUCUGCAAUUUUGACGUUACCGACAGAAUAAGCACCGGCUAACUCUGUGCCAGCCGCCGCCGUAAAAC
rnacentral:rRNA from 1 species